GGCUCGGUAGCGCUCGGAGCGCAUCUGCAUAUCGUUGCUGCUCACCGAUGAGAUAAAAUUGAAGCAGACCCGCCUGUUCGACUCAGGCCCGAGCCA